GACGAACGCUGGCGGCGUGCUUAACACAUGCAAGUCGAACGGAAAGGCCCUGCUUUUGUGGGGUGCUCGAGUGGCGAACGGGUGAGUAACACGUGAGUAACCUGCCCUUGACUUUGGGAUAACUUCAGGAAACUGGGGCUAAUACCGGAUAGGAGCUCCUGCUGCAUGGUGGGGGUUGGAAAGUUUCGGCGGUUGGGGAUGGACUCGCGGCUUAUCAGCUUGUUGGUGGGGUAGUGGCUUACCAAGGCUUUGACGGGUAGCCGGCCUGAGAGGGUGACCGGCCACAUUGGGACUGAGAUACGGCCCAGACUCCUACGGGAGGCAGCAGUGGGGAAUAUUGCACAAUGGGCGGAAGCCUGAUGCAGCAACGCCGCGUGCGGGAUGACGGCCUUCGGGUUGUAAACCGCUUUCGCCUGUGACGAAGCGUGAGGGACGGUAAUGGGUAAAGAAGCACCGGCUAACUACG
rnacentral:rRNA from 1 species